GGACAGGGCAGAUACUUGAGUUGUUGCAUUUUUCAUGUAUCCUGCGAAGAGGACUAAAGCAGCAUUGUACCAUAACUCUAAGCAAAGCAUCACACCUGAGGAAAUUGAGAGCUUUUUUACAGGAAUUAGAUUAGUGAAGGCAGCUAAAGUGAAUCCUCUCCAAGUAUCAGGACACCAGCCACCAAAGACAUAAACUAGCUCUCCAAUUACGACCAACCAACUUGAAAUAUUCAUA
rnacentral:misc_RNA from 1 species